AGCUCCAAUAGCGUAUAUUAAAGUUGCUGCGGUUAAAAAGCUCGUAGUUGGAUCUCAGUCUCGAUCGGACGGUCCGCUGCAUGGCGGUUACUGUUCGUAUCGGACAUUGGGCCGCGUUUUCGUGUAUCCUCUUGACUGAGUGUACUCGGGGAGCGGCACGUUUACUUUGAAAAAAUUAGAGUGCUCAAAGCAGGCUUUUCGCCUGAAUCUUCGUGCAUGGAAUGAUGGAAUAGGGCCUCGGUUCUAUUUUGUUGGUUUCCGGAACUCGAGGUAAUGAUUAAGAGGGACGGACGGGGGCAUUCGUAUUGCGACGUUAGAGGUGAAAUUCUUAGAUCGUCGCAAGACGAACUACUGCGAAAGCAUUUGCCAAGAAUGUUUUCA
rnacentral:rRNA from 1 species